UGUGAUUUAAUGUAUGAUGCAUACUGAAUUUUGAAUUCAGAAGAAAAGUUUAAUUCUUGGUUUCACAA
rnacentral:tRNA from 1 species